GGGAGGUCAGGCGUCGUAGGGCAAUAGUUCUGCGGUUGUCGGCUUCUCUUACCUGUCUGGCAUUGCCCUCGUUGGUGGUGCUAGGCUCGUUUACUGUGAAAAAAUUAGAGUGUUCAAAGCAGGCUUACGCUGUGAAUACAUUAGCAUGGAAUAAUAGAAUAGGACUUUGGUUCUAUUUUGUUGGUUUCUAGGACCGAAGUA
rnacentral:rRNA from 1 species